UAGAACUGAUGAGUGCUUUGAUUUUUGGAUUUACCCUGUUGCACAUAACAUUGGACCUGCCCAGGUACACAGUUGUAAGUCUGAAACAUUUAGGUUAGCAAGCUGGUGGAAAUCACAGAGAAUCUACUUGAUGUUUUAGGAAAUUUAGAGAUAUUGUUUUGUUUAAGAUGUUUAAGUAUAGUUAUGGUAAAUAAGAAUGACAAGAAGAAUCACCUUGGACAAGAAGAUAUACAACAAAAUCAGGCUAGUGGGACCAGUUCUUACUUUGAGAUGCCAGGUGAAUAAUGAUAUGCAGUAUUGAGCCUGAAAAGGUGAACACAGCCACAUGAAGUUCUCCGAGGAAACAGAAUCAGAGCACUGAAACAGACAUCAAUAGAAGAAAUAGUAGUUUGAAUAAUCAGAAACAUUUGAUCAAAUUUAUGAUUUGAACAGUUCCUCACCGACAGACUUCCAGCAAAAUAAUUGUAUAAAUAAAGUGUUUGAUUCCAAGAAAACCAGUAAAAAACAAAAACUUGCUGUUACAAAUGAAUAUUGUUUUUGUUAUAGUGAAUGUAAGAUGAUUGAACUGAAGGAUAUGUAUGUUGAAUUUUGUAUUUUGCUCAUUUAUAUGACUAUGAAUAUAAAUUAAUAAACAUUUUUGAAAUUAAAUUACUAAACUUUUAUUUUAUUUCAAGCUUUUUUGACAUCAAGCAACAUAU